rfam:Chryseobacterium soli strain DSM 19298 Contig03, whole genome shotgun sequence.
GUUUUGCUUUAGGGGUAUUCUGAAAAAGAAUUGAGAGAGUCCCUUUGAACCUGAUACGGCUUACACCGACGUAGGGAAAAGCAAAAAGACAUUC